AGCCGCUCCAGGGAGGCCGGGCGAACGGCCGUGAGGGAGCGGGCGGGCGGGCGGGGCGGAGAGCGUGACAGACAAGCGCCCUGCCUGCCUCAGCCGUUAUUUCUGGCGAGCUAGGGAGGCGCGGAGAGAAAAGGUGGCAUGGAAGAGAAGGGAGGCCAGUUCCCCCCCUCCCCACAUACACCCGAAAUUCGGGUGAAGAGAGGCAAGGCUGAGCCAGGGAAAACCCUGAGGAGGAAGAGGUACAACUUCGCGGAGGAAAAGAGAUGUGCCAAGGUAGUUUCCUGGCUCGUCUGGACCCAACGCGGAUUUGUUGCUCCCUCGGUAACUUCAACUCGCCCUGCUGUCACAUUCACAUGGAGGGAGAUGUAAGCGAGUGGCAGUUGGCCAAGGGGCAGGGGAAGCACUAACAGGGUGGACAGACAGCUGCAGCUGGCUAUGGGUUAAAGUGGGGGCUGUAAUCUGUGUUUGGGAUUACAUAACCAAGGAACGGUUGCUAUUUUAGAUUCAUUUGAUAAGGGGAUAUAAGGGCCUGGACAUAGGUAUUUGGCUUUAGGGCAUCUGUGGCCAGCCCUUUGGGUAUGUAUGCACGGGGUCGAGGGCAAGGGAUGGUCCUACUGCUACAGGGCACACUGCAGAACAUAGGCAGCUUCCCUGUCACUGGCUCCAUUUGGGAUGGUUUCGCUUCUUCCAUGCUGAGCUAGGCAAUCGGCAACACAAUGUAGAGAGAUGCAAGGUUUGCGGCUCCUCUUGUCACCUGGAAGCCACCUGUGCCUUCAGUUGGAUAACUGUAAUGUCUCCAUGGGAGGGGAAAACAUCUGUAAACAUUACAGAUGCAGUACUUUGUAGUACUGCCACUGUGGCACAAAAAGAAGGAUCUUCAUAACUUAUUUAUAGAAGGUCUCCCCAAAUCUUGCAUUCAUCUGUGUAGACUGCAUGGUAUAAAUCAAGGAGCCAGCACUUUGUGGCAUCACUGAGGCACAAAAAAUGGAUCCCAUAUAUUAAACUUUGUGGCUCUUAUAUUGACUUCACAACAAGCACAGAUUCAUAAGUUAAUGACAUUGCUAUGGCACAAAAAGAUGGUUGCAAGACGCAAGUCCUUGUGCUUUUUACACAAAAUUACCCCAUUUCCACUAUCAAUCAUAGUUCACAUCAGUACCUAUGGGCUUCGUUAUAAUGAUUAUAAAUUGCACCUUGUGGUGCAAAAACCUAGAUGCUCCAGAUGCAUUUAAUUUGUAUCAUGAUGACACAGUAACUCAUAAAAAUGAGUUUAAUCAUUUGUAGUGCACCGAUGCUGGAACCUAGAUUUGUAGCACAUCUUCUCAUCAUGUAUCCUUUUUUAAAUAGAAUAUUGAAAUCCAUUAUAUAAUUACAGUUCGCCUACACUAUCCAAAAUAAUUUUUCGAACAUCAUCUGGCUUUUUGCAUAGGUCCUCAUAGAUCCUUGUAAGUUUUACAUGUAUUCUUACAUCAAACCAUAUCAUACUGUAUAGCCAUGGCUUAUCCCUUCAGCAUGAAGAACACGAAUUCAAUGUGUGCUCUGUGUGUAAUCCACAUCAAGGGAUCAGAAUACAUUGUGUCCACAUAGUUUUCCCAUUUAAGUCCUAUAAGUUAUUAAUUUUAUUUUUAAUAAAAUAAGUAUUUAAAAAAACGUAUCACAGUUAUUUUUUUCUCAGCUUUCCCAAGCCUAGUACCUUCCUGAUGUUUUGGACUACAGCUCUCAUCACUAGCCCCAGUCUGUAAUCCAAAAAGAUCUGGAAGGCAGUAGCGUGGGGAAGGCUGAAGGCACUUCCUAAACUUAUACUAAUAUCAGAUCACUGCAUUGUAAAAAUCACAAUGCUAAUGAGUCUUUUCAUUACUGUGUCACAAAAACUGGAAUUUGGAAAUGAUACUUCCCAGACUGAAUGAUUUUUCCAUUCCAACAACAAAUUAUGCUUCAAAUAUCAUAAAAUAUAUAGUUCCAGCUCUUCCUAAACACACUUACCAUUUGAAGCCUCUUAAUACAUUCAUAUCAUAACAUUGUACCAGAUGGUUGUAAAAAAUGUUUACAGACAAGCUCAGAUAUGGUUCAAUACUGUUAUGCCCUGGAAACUGGUUAUUUGAGAGACUAGCUGGUAAAAUGGUUUUUUUUUAAUGCAUUCAACACUACAUAAAAAUCUGUACCUCAGAUUUAGGUUUUUAUGAUGCAAUAUUAACUAUUAGUAUUGGCACUCAGUGUAACACUUUCAAGGGUUCAAAGUGCUUCUGAAACAGGUUUUUUCCAAUCUAGAUUUUUGCCCCACAGUAGUUCCAUGAAUGUUACAUCAAUUCAUUUACUUUUUUAAAAAAAUGUUGCUCAACUUUGAUCAGUGCCAAUACGAAACGGUACAAGAUGACAUAAAUUAAUUUAAAAGCCAUCAAUAAAAUAGAUUACAAAAUAUCCUGCAAACAAUGGUCACUAGAAACAGCUGGACAGAAGCGGUUAAAACAGUAACUCAUUAAAAACCUACAAAGCUGGAGUAAACAUUUUGAAAUGCAACCUGCUAUUUCUGCUAUGCCCAAAAGAAGGUGUCACAAAGCACUGUGUUAUUUGUAUAUUGUGAGUCUAUGCAGAUCACAAACUCUAAUUUGAUAGUGGGUUGGAAUUGAGGUCCUCCAUGUAAAAGACAUGAGGAUCAAUGGUUAGAAUCUUUGUGUUUGCACCACAAUGGCAGUAUAAAGUACUGGAUUCAUGGUUUUAUAUUGCAGGCUGUGGACAAGGAUGUGAGCGAUUUGAUGGCAGCUUUGCAUGGCCUAUAACAAAAAUAAAAUUAAUUCAACAGACUCUAUUUAUAUUAUGCUAGAUCAAACUUUUUACUAUCUGCUACCUGCCUAAAAGUCAUGGUGGAGACAUGUAGGAGAAAAAGACAAAUAAGGUCCACUGUGACUGUGCUUAGAUGAAGGUCCCCACCAGUGACCAACACAUGUCUACUAUUUCUAUUAUUGCCAAAGCAGAAAGCUUUGUACCUAGUCCAGCUAGGAAUAAUUUGAACAUGGAAUAAUUUCCUAUGUAAUAUAAUAAUAAACAGCUGUGAAAUAAUUUGAAAAUGUCUGUGUCCAGCUUAGAGUAUAUUGUCCAAUAUAUGCAUUAUUUGCAUUUACUGUGUUAGGGUCAUUGAUUAGCUAACAUCUAAUCCAGUUACUCAUUUCUUACUCCUUCUAAUAAAUCUAAACACUGUUUC
rnacentral:lncRNA from 1 species